rnacentral:rRNA from 1 species
CGUAUGGUGCAAGCGUUAUCCGGAUUUUACUGGGGUGUAAAGGGGAGCGCAGGCGGAAGGCUAAGUCUGAUGUGAAAGCCCGGGGGCUCAACCCCGGUACUGCAUUGGAAACUGGUCAUCUAGAGUGUCGGAGGGGUAAGUGGAAUUCCUAGUGUAGCGGUGAAAUGCGUAGAUAUUAGGAGGAACACCAGUGGCGAAGGCGGCUUACUGGACGAUAACUGACGCUGAGGCUCGAAAAGCGUGGGGGAGCAAAACAGGAUU